rnacentral:ncRNA from 1 species
AGGCCAGCUCAAUGCUGACAGAAACCAAACAUAGAUUAAAAGUUCAAAUGCUGACUUGAUUUCGGUGUUCAGUACCCACAGGGACAGCAAAUGCUC